AGUGAACGCUGGCGGUAGGCCUAACACAUGCAAGUCGAACGGCAGCACAGUAAGAGCUUGCUCUUACGGGUGGCGAGUGGCGGACGGGUGAGGAAUACAUCGGAAUCUUCUUUUUCGUGGGGGAUAACGUAGGGAAACUUACGCUAAUACCGCAUACGACCUACGGGUGAAAGCAGGGGAUCUUCGGACCUUGCGCGAUUGAAUGAGCCGAUGUCGGAUUAGCUAGUUGGCGGGGUAAAGGCCCACCAAGGCGACGAUCCGUAGCUGGUCUGAGAGGAUGAUCAGCCACACUGGAACUGAGACACGGUCCAGACUCCUACGGGAGGCAGCAGUGGGGAAUAUUGGACAAUGGGCGCAAGCCUGAUCCAGCCAUACCGCGUGGGUGAAGAAGGCCUUCGGGUUGUAAAGCCCUUUUGCUGGGAAAGAAAAGCAGCAGGUUAAUACCCCGCUGUUCUGACGGUACCCAAAGAAUAAGCACCGGCUAACUUCGUG
rnacentral:rRNA from 1 species